UCUUUGUCCCACCUGGCCAACCUUUCUCCUGUUUGAGAAAGGUUGGCCUCCUGUUUGUGUCCCUCUGCUCUGACUAACAGGAAAAACGAUUCAACUUGCUGCAACAAAACACCUCGUAACUUCCUAAAAGAUUCCGUCCACACCAUCAGAUCUGUACACUCGGUCAGCAGGGAGCAAAAUGACCCUCAUCACACAGGACUCUUAAUACAGGUCAGUGUUACGACAGGACGAGCAGCCACGUUGUCCUCCGCUACAGCGGCUUCCUUCAGUUAUUCCAGUGGGAUCUCCUCACAGAACAGAUGGGAGAUGUUCUCCCGGCAGCCGGUCCUGGAUCGGGCCCCCCGGGGGUCUCCUCCCUGUAGGGUCGAGACCCGGACAUGUCCAGAGGGAGGACCUACCAGCUGGCUUCUCACAGGAUGUAAAACACUGUGAAAGUCAUGUAUGCAGACAUCAGGAUCACAUCGUCUCACAGUCCGGAUCACUCGCUCGUGUCAUGAUUCCCAUCAGAUCUCCUGCUUGAGUUAAUGCUGAUUUAAGAUUUGUUAUCUUCUGGAUGAUAUUUGUCCUGUUUGUUCUGCCCUGAAGUCUUUUCCAUGUCAAUCUGUAGAAGACAACAAACGUUUGAUGGUCCAUGUCGUCUAGCGGCUUUGGGAAAAGAUGGAUUCCUUUCACGCCUCGGCCUCAGUGAAAAAACAUAUCAGUACAUCACAGUGCUUCAUCUCUUCAUCAAUGAAAUGUGUCGGGAAAAUGUCAGAUUUUAAUUGUCGGAGUGUCUAAACAUCUGUGUGUGUCACAUGUGAUGAACGCCUCGACGCUGCAGAGUUAUUAAUGUACAAAUCUGCAGCUCAUAAUCCUCAAUA